UACGGGGGGGGCAAGCGUUGUUCGGAAUUACUGGGCGUAAAGGGCUCGUAGGCGGCCAACUAAGUCAGACGUGAAAUCCCUCGGCUUAACCGGGGAACUGCGUCUGAUACUGGAUGGCUAGAGGUUGGGAGAGGGAUGCGGAAUUCCAGGUGUAGCGGUGAAAUGCGUAGAUAUCUGGAGGAAUACCGGUGGCGAAGGCGGCAUCCUGGACCAUUACUGACGCUGAGGCGCGAAAGCUAGGGGAGCAAACGGG
rnacentral:rRNA from 1 species